rnacentral:piRNA from 1 species
UAACACUCUCAUGGUAUGCUU